rnacentral:rRNA from 1 species
GACGAACCGAGCGAACGUUGUUCGGAAUCACUGGGCUUAAAGGGCGCGUAGGCGGGCCGCCGCGUCCGGGGUGAAAUCCUCCCGCUCAACGGGAGAACGGCCUCGGAUACGGGCGGCCUGGAGGGGGGUAGGGGCGUGCGGAACUGUGGGUGGAGCGGUGAAAUGCGUUGAUAUCCACAGGAACUCCGGUGGCGAAGGCGGCACGCUGGACCCCCACCUGACGCUGAGGCGCGAAAGCCAGGGGAGCGAACGGG